UACGAAGGGGGGCUAGCGUUGUUCGGAAUCACUGGGCGUAAAGGGCGCGUAGGCGGCCAUAUAAGUCGGGGGUGAAAGCCUGUGGCUCAACCACAGAAUUGCCUCGAUACUGUAUGGCUCGAGACCGGAAGAGGUAAGUGGAACUGCGAGUGUAGAGGUGAAAUCGUAGAUAUUCGCAAGAACACCAGUGGCGAAGGCGGCUUACUGGUCCGGUUCUGACGCUGAGGCGCGAAAGCGUGGGGAGCAAACAGG
rnacentral:rRNA from 1 species